CGCUCGGCACAGGACGAACAGCAGAGCUGCCGAGCAUUUUUGCUCUCUCCAGAUUUCAGCACCAUGAGUCAGAGUCCGACUCAUCCUGGCCUGGUUGCAGCCCUGCUUACUGCCAAGAUAUGUAGGGCAAAUAUGCGGCACAAAUCUCACUGUGUUCAACAGAGCUUGGUCCCAGAGAGAAGAGCCUGUCGGACACUAGAUGCCAUUGCAUGUCUAUUGUCAAAUAGUGGAAGAUGAAACAUGCUGUUA